rnacentral:rRNA from 1 species
GGAUUAGAUACCCUGGUAGUCCACGCUGUAAACGAUGAGUGCUAGAUUUUGGGAAUUUAUUCUCAGUUUUAUAGCUAACGCGUUAAGCACUCCGCCUGAGGACUACGAUCGCAAGAUUAAAACUCAAAGGAAUUGACGGGGACCUGCACAAGCAGUGGAGCAUGCGGUUUAAUUCGAUUCUACGCGAAAAACCUUACCAACCCUUGUAUGUUGACCGCCGGUACAGAGAUGUGCCUUCAGUUAGGCUGGGUCAUCACAGGUGCUGCAUGGCUGUCGUCAGCUCGUGUUG